rnacentral:lncRNA from 1 species
GUGUGGGCACCCGGGGCUGGGGACAGGGCAGGGCUGGGACAGCGGGAUGGGACAGCAGGGCUGUGGAUGCAGCGUCCAUCCUGUGUCCAUCCCUGUGUCCAUCCCUCUGUCCAUCCUGUGUCCAUCCCUCUGUCCAUCCCUGUCCAUCCCUGUGUCCAUCCUGUGUCCAUCCCUCUGUCCAUCCCUGUGUCCCUCCCUGUCCCCCCCAUGUCCCUCCCUGUCCAUCCCUGUGUCCAUCCUCUGUCCAUCCCUGUGUCCAUCCCUGUCCAUCCUCUGUCCAUCCCUGUGUCCAUCCCUCUGUCCAUCCCUCUGUCCAUCCCUGUCCCUCCCUGUCCAUCCCAUCCAUCCCUCUGUCCAUCCCUGUGUCCAUCCUGUGUCCAUCCUGUGUCCAUCCCUCUGUCCCUCCCUGUCCCCCCCAUGUCCCUCCCUGUCCAUCCCUCUGUCCAUCCCUGUCCGUCCCUCUGUCCGUCCCUGUCCCCUCCCCGCAGUGCCCAGAAGUGCCUGAUCCAGCCCAGCCCCCGCUGCCGCAGAAUUUGGGGCUGGGGGUUCCCAAAUCCCCCC